ensembl:lncRNA
UAAUAUAAAGAAAAGUGCCGGCAGUUUAUCCUCACGGCUGAGAGAUGAAUUCUCUGAGCUUGAGGACAGUGAAGAAGACUUCAGCCUGAUCGGAAUUGUUCAUUUCCUUUAUAUUUUAAAUAUCUGGAGCAAAAUGAGGAAAAAUUAAUUUGGGUGGGUAGAUGUGGGUGUUUGUUUUUAAUUCACUGCAAAAAGAAAAAAAAAAUGAGCUAUCAACUAGCCCCAGUUCCCUUCUUGUCAAUGCAGAGCUGGUUUCCCUGUCUCUUGGCUCCAAGUCCAAACUCCCGUGCUUUGCUCUGUGGCCCUGGGACUGGGAUUGGCAAGCACCAGCCCCAGGCCAUGGGCGUCUGACUGCUCUUUGCUGCUGCCAGUGGGGGACUGGGAGGCACAGUGGGGACAAGGGACUGCAGAGCUCUUUGACGGCCUUGGCGCAUUACCCCAGCACAGUCACCCCCCACAGGGGCACCCACAGGGCCAGGGGCUGAGCCCGGCUGCUGGGAGUCGCUGUUCCAGCUCUGCAGAGCAAGAUUCAGCACCAGCCCACAGGCACUCCUCUGAGCUCUUCUGAGCUCCAGCAGCCUAGGGAACACACUGCCUCGGCAGCUACAGCGUCUGAGUCACCUCACCUCCCUCCGUCUGCCGCCUCAACCUCCAACACCAGAAGAUCCAGUUUAGCAAAAACUCACUUGCCAGGCGUGGCAGCUUAGUGGCGUCCGUGGGGGGCUGAGAAAAGAACGUGACGGUGCUUACCUCCUGGGGACGUCAGACUCACUGCAGACAGGCAUCAAAACAGCAGGACCCAGGAGUCUAUACCGCACGUCAAACGACGGUGCCUGAAGACUUCUGCUUCUCCGGUGGCAAGACCCAGGUAAUCCAAGAGGACGGGCAUCCGAGGCCCGGCUCCACAGCUGGACACCAGGAGACCUGAGGGAGGCCAGGCCAGGCGUGGGAUGGUGCCGGGAGAGGCGCUGCAGCCUGCCCCAGUGGAACUGGUUCAGGGAACCCUGAGAGGACAACCACUCCCUGAAAGGAAUUAUUAUGCAUUAACUGAGGACCAACCCCAUGACAGCUUGCCCUCUUCUGCCCGUGGAAAGAUGUCAGGACUCACACAGGGACACGUCCUGUCUUGCGUCUGCCACUGCUCCCUGGGUCACCCGGGUCCUCUGAUAAGGCCCCUGUGUGUGACUGGACCAGAACCACGUCCGGAACCAUGUCCGCCAGCUCCCCUGCUGUGUGUCUCGGUGGGGAGAGUAGCAUGUGCGGCCCGUGCCUGGGCCCACACAAGGUCAAUACCCACGUGGGCCCUGGGCUGCCACAGUGGACAGAGCAGGUUCAGCCUGUGUGAGCACGAAGGCAGGCGGAGAAAGGAAGGGAGCGAGUGACCAGGUGGACAGCGGAGGCAUGAAGCUUCCAGCUUCCAUCCAGCCACACGGGAGGUGCUUAGAAAAUGGUCAGUGGAAUCUGCAUGGCUGGUGCCCAGUUGCCUGCAUCCCAGGAGGUCCCCUAGCAUUGGCUCUUCUGGGACCCGGGUCCCAGGGCUCUGUGUAAGAUGGUCAGUCUGCAUCAUCUGCGUUUUCUAGGUGCCCUUGGGUUGGCUCCAGAGCCAUUCGUGAUAGCACGACCCAGGCCACCCGAGGCAGACGCGUCUGUAACAUUUAGAUCCUUUCUUGGGAGGCUGUGGCUUCCACAAUUGAGUAAGCAUCAAAGUAAAGGUUAUUUCCAACCCCACAGUUAAAUCGACGUGGUGAUAUAUUGGCCUGAUGACUCCUUUUACAAAAUUAUCUCUGAAAUGUUAUGUUUUCAUUCCACAAGACUCAUUCCAGCUCAGUUCCUCCUUGACCUUUAUCACCUACUCUGCAGAAUGCAUGCACCCAUCCACGGUUCUGGAAGCUUCUCCAGGCAUCCGACCUGCAGUGCCCCUUUCUGACCUGAUCUGUGGGUGGGGAGCAGGCGGGGGCGUGGGGUUCUGAUUGACAGGUGUUGUCCACCCACUCAGAGGAGCCCCGGGCCCCUCCACCCGUCCGGCUGCUCCAGGUGUUUGGGAAGCACCCGGGCCUGACCUGCUGUCAGCCUCCCACACGGCAGGUGUUCUCCCCAGGGGCAGCUGGCAGCGGGUGGGCGCCAAGGAUGGUGAUGAAAAUCGCCCUGGGGCUUUCCCACACUCACCGAAGACGUUGCUACAGAGAAGUUAGAGCUGCUCUGUGUACGUGUCCCCUGUGGGGGCCUCUAAUUAAGGCUCCACUGACGGCCUCAGAGGCUGGGACGGGUUCCCCUGUGUUCAGGCCAGGAGAGCGGGAGGCCCAGCAGGAAGGAGCUGAGACACACCCCCACUUGUCUAUAGGGGUGUCUCAGCUCUGGGCUCCAGCCCCUCAGCUCAGCCCCAUCCUCACCCCCUGGGGGAACUGGA